rnacentral:rRNA from 1 species
AUUUUGACUGUACAAAGGUAGCAUAAUCAAUAGUCUCUUAAUUGGUGACUUGUAUGAAAGAUUGGAUGAGAUAUAUACUGUCUCUAAUUAAUUUAUUGAAAUUAAUUUUUUAGUAAAAAAGCUAAAAUAAUUUUAAAAGACGAGAAGACCCUAUAGAGUUUAAUAAUUUAUUUAAUUAUUAUUAAUAUAUAAUUUUUAAAAUUAAAAUUAAAUAAAUUAUUUUGUUGGGGUGAUAAAAAAAUUAAAUUAACUUUUUUUAAUUAUUAACAUUAAUUUAUGAAUAAAUGAUCCAUUUAUAGUGAUUAAAAGAAAAAAUUACCUUAGGGAUAACAGCGUAAUUUUUUUUUUUAGUUCAAAUAGGAAAAAAAGUUUGCGACCUCGAUGUU